rnacentral:lncRNA from 1 species
UGGGCUCAGAGGCGCGCGUUGGGCCUCACGGGUUGGGGAAAUUGGGCUUAAACCGGUUCGGUUUAAGCCUGGUUCGGUUCAGGAGAACCGAACCGGUUCAGGGUACUAUAUAUACGUGGUGUGCCGGUUUUUUCUUUAUUUUAACACCUUCAUUCUCUCUCUUCCCUAUUUUCUCUCAAAAAUUGCUCUCUUCUCUCUCUUCCUAUUCUUCUUCUCCGACGGCAAGUUGAGG